GACGAACGCUGGCGGCGUGCUUAACACAUGCAAGUCGAACGGAAAGGCCCUGCUUUUGUGGGGUUCUCGAGUGGCGAACGGGUGAGUAACACGUGAGUAACCUGCCCUUGACUUUGGGAUAACUUCAGGAAACUGGGGCUAAUACCGGAUAGGAGCUCCUGCUGCAUGGUGGGGGUUGGAAAGUUUCGGCGGUUGGGGAUGGACUCGCGGCUUAUCAGCUUGUUGGUGGGGUAGUGGCUUACCAAGGCUUUGACGGGUAGCCGGCCUGAGAGGGUGACCGGCCACAUUGGGACUGAGAUACGGCCCAGACUCCUACGGGAGGCAGCAGUGGGGAAUAUUGCACAAUGGGCGGAAGCCUGAUGCAGCAACGCCGCGUGCGGGAUGAAGGCCUUCGGGUUGUAAACCGCUUUCGCCUGUGACGAAGCGUGAGUGACGGUAAUGGGUAAAGAAGCACCGGCUAACUACGUG
rnacentral:rRNA from 1 species